CCAAUAGCGUAUAUUAAAGUUGUUGCAGUUAAAAAGCUCGUAGUUGAACUUCGGGGUCUACCCAUUGGUCAGGCUUAAUUGUCUGCACUGGUGAGAUGGAUCUCUACCUUCUGAGGAACUUUCAUGCCAUUUAUUUAGUGUGAUUGGAAAUCAGGACUGUUACUUUGAAAAAAUUAGAGUGUUUAAAGCAGACUAUCGUCUGAAUACAUUAGCAUGGAAUAAUGAAAUAGGACGGACUGAUUCUAUUUCGUUGGUUUCUAGGAUCACCGUAAUGAUUAAUAGGGAUAGUUGGGGGCAUUAGUAUUCAAUUGUCAGAGGUGAAAUUCUUGGAUUUAUUGAAGACUAACUACUGCGAAAGCAUUUGCCAAGGAUGUUUUCAUUAAUCAAGAACGAAAGUUAGGGGAUCGAAGACGAUCAGAUACCGUCGUAGUCUUAACCAUAAACUAUGCCGACUAGGGAUCGGAUGAUGUUAAUUUUUUAAUGACUCAUUCGGCGCCUUACG
rnacentral:rRNA from 1 species